rnacentral:rRNA from 1 species
UACGUAGGUGACAAGCGUUGUCCGGAUUUACUGGGCGUAAAGAGCGCGCAGGCGGUCGAUCAAGUCGAGUGUGAAAGCCCCCGGCUCAACUGGGGAGGGUCAUUCGAUACUGCUCGACUUGAAGGCAGGAGAGGGAAGUGGAAUUCCCGGUGUAGUGGUGAAAUGCGUAGAUAUCGGGAGGAACACCAGUGGCGAAGGCGACUUUCUGGCCUGUUCUUGACGCUGAGGCGCGAAAGCUAGGGGAGCAAACGGG